UGCAUUUCUUUCGUAAAGACAGUAGUCAUGAUUUGUUAGUGUGAAUAAAAGCGCACAACAUACAAUCGUACACGCAUACAUCUUUGAAAUUUGGAGGCUAAUUUGACGUUAGUAGAAUGAGUGUUCGAGCUAGUAGCAGUGCUACGAUAAUUGUUAACGUCAAUU